AAAGUGGUCCGGGUGACCGCUUGCCCCGCCACUGGCGGGGUGAGAGGAAAGUCCGAGCACCGAAGGGCAGGAUGGUCGGUAACGCCGACCGGGGGCGACCCCAGGGAAAGUGCCACAGAGAGCAGACCGCCCGUCUUCGUCACGCCGCUGGCGUGACUUCGACGCGGUAAGGGUGAAAGGGUGAGGUAAGAGCUCACCAGUGCCGGUGGUGACACCGGCAGCUAGGUAAACCCCAUCCGGUGCAAGGCCAAAUAGGGGAGCGUAAGAGGGCGGCCCGUUCAAAGCUCCCGGGUAGGCCGCUAGAGGCCGUCGGCAACGGCGGUCCCAGAUGAAUGGUCACCCAUCGACAGGCUCAGGGCAAGCCUCUGACCUGUUGAAGACAGAACUCGGCUUACAGGACCACUUUGCAC
rnacentral:RNase_P_RNA from 1 species